rnacentral:lncRNA from 1 species
UUUUUUUUACUUUAGUCUGAAUUAAUAGCUAAUUUAAUGGGUAAGCAUGAAUAAGGAGAUUUUAGUUUAGAAAUAAGUAUAGCGUGAGGGUGGCAGCAACCAAUAUUGUUAAUUGGUUGAGCUAUUGUUGAACUAUAAACCAAAUGAAGUCGUGAAUUAAAUUCUUAGUGCGGUAAGCAUAGUAUAUAAGUUUAAGCAAGGGAGAACCUAGUGUUUCAUGGGCAGUAGCUAUUACAGAUAAUUGAUACCAUUUUAUAUAUAAACUAAUGUAAUAAUGGACGUACAUAUAUUUUCAAUGUUUUUAUAUGAUUAGUAUUGGUUAUAUCUAGAAAGGGAAUUUUUAUGUCAAGAUGGAGAA